rnacentral:rRNA from 1 species
GAUGAACGCUGGCGGCGUGCCUAAUACAUGCAAGUCGAGCGAACAGACGAGGAGCUUGCUCCUCUGACGUUAGCGGCGGACGGGUGAGUAACACGUGGAUAACCUACCUAUAAGACUGGGAUAACUUCGGGAAACCGGAGCUAAUACCGGAUAAUAUAUUGAACCGCAUGGUUCAAUAGUGAAAGACGGUUUUGCUGUCACUUAUAGAUGGAUCCGCGCCGCAUUAGCUAGUUGGUAAGGUAACGGCUUACCAAGGCGACGAUGCGUAGCCGACCUGAGAGGGUGAUCGGCCACACUGGAACUGAGACACGGUCCAGACUCCUACGGGAGGCAGCAGUAGGGAAUCUUCCGCAAUGGGCGAAAGCCUGACGUAGCAACACCGCGUGAGUGAUGAAGGUCUUCGGAUCGUAAAACUCUGUUAUUAGGGAAGAACAAAUGUGUAAGUAACUAUGCACGUCUUGACGGUACCUAAUCAGAAAGCCACGGCUAACUACGUG